CCAUGAGUCUGAGAAGUUUGAUCUCUGCUCUUAGAUUGUUGUCAUGUGUCAAAUCAUACAGCCCAGGGGGAAUGACUACAUUGCGCAGGAAAAACAGACAUCGAGCCGUGGUCAGACCACCUCAAAGAUAAACACUGCUGUGUGGACCAGAAGAAGAAAGGUCGAAAAACAAUCUGAAGCCUCAGACACUGUAAGGCUUUUUCACUUUCAUUUUCUUGCCACUCUGAGGCUUCCAUUUUAUCAGCGUGUGCAAAUAUACAUUUUUCUUCCAACUGACCUUCCAACAGCUUGUGCCACAAUACGGGACUAGCUUGAGAGUAAUAACAAAUAGAAAUACUACUUGUCUUUUGGAAUCUUUUUUUGCUGAAAAGUGUGAAGCGAUUCCAGAGAUAUUCUGAACAGAGGGACCCCAUCAGCAUGCAGUCCUAUAGGAGAAUGCAACCUGUCUGCACCUUCUUCCCAAGGGGGCCAGUGAAUGAAUGAACGAAAGAAUAAAUGAAUGAACAAACCAUUCAGCUACACACACUUAAUUUUACAGAGCAAAUGCCUACUAGUCAUGCGUUACUAUCCUAGCUUGAGGCCCAAUUAUUUCUCUAUCUAAAUAAUGUGGGUGUUUUCCUUGAUCAUAAAUGAAACGUGCUCAUUAUAAAAUGCUUAGAAGAUACAGAAAAGUAUAAAGAAGAAAAUAAAAGUCAUCCAUAAUCCUACCCCACAAAAAAGUCUUAUUAAUAUUGAGGUUUAUAUCAUACACGUGUUCCUCUGAGCUCAUAAACAUUACAUGGCUGAGAUCUUGUGUAUAUACAACUGGUAUCUGUAUUAGACAGAAUUCUAAGAUGAUCCCGGAAUCCACAUGGCUUUACGUAAUCCCUUCCCCCUUGAAUGUGGGCAGGUGGGACCUGUGACUAUUAUGGGCCAUCGCUUUCAUGAUUUGGUUAUGUUCCAUGGCAAGACUUUAAGGGUGGGAGAUGAUCCUGGGUUGGUCUGGCCUGUUCAGGUGAGUCUUGACAGAGAUUAGGCUUUUCCUGGAGACAGAUACGAAGCAUGAGAGGGACUUGAAACAAGGGAGAGUCUCCUUUGGUGACUGUGAAGAUAGAGAGCCCAACAUGGCAAAGAAUGCUAGAAGCCUCCAGAACCUGAGAGCAACCCCUAGUUGACACCCAGCAAGGAAAAUAGGGACCUUGGGCCUGCAACCACAGGAACUCAAUCCUACCAAAAAUAUGAAUGAGCUUGAAAGAAGACCCCAGCUCUAGAUGAGAACACAGCCUGGCCAACACCUUAAUUUUGGUCUUAUGAGACCCUGGGCAGAAAACCCAAACAAGACUGCUGGGGUUUUGGACCUACAGAACCAUGAGAUAGUAAAUGGGUGUUGCCGUAAGUGGCUAAACUUACAAUAAUUUGUUAUGCAGCAAUAGAAAAUAAUAUAGUGUUCUAUUUUUUCACUUUACAUUACAACUUGAACUUUGUCUCCUAUUAAUGUUAACUAAAAAUUUAAUGUCUAUGUCUAAUAUAUGU
rnacentral:lncRNA from 10 species